AAAUGACGUGUACCUGAAGAAUAAGCAUCGGCUAACUCCGUGCCAGCAGCCGCGGUAAGACGGAGGAUGCAAGUGUUAUNNNGAAUCACUGGGCGUAAAGCGUCUGUAGGUGGUCCAAUAAGUCAACUGUUAAAUCUUGAGGCUCAACCUCAAAAUCGCAGUCNAAACUAUUAGACUAGAGUAUAGUAGGGGUAAAGGGAAUUUCCAGUGGAGCGGUGAAAUGCGUAGAGAUUGGAAAGAACACCGAUGGCGAAGGCACUUUACUGGGCUAUUACUAACACUCAGAGACGAAAGCUAGGGUAGCAAAUGGGAUUAGAUACCCCNNUAGUCCUAGCCGUAAACAAUGGAUACUAGAUGNNAACAGAUCGACCUGUGCAGUAUCAAAGCUAACGCGUUAAG
rnacentral:rRNA from 1 species